AUAGGUUGCGGAAGCAGAUAUUCAUCCUUUGGUUCUGGGAGAAGUAUCCAAACAAUUGAAGAUUGUUUACAAUAUUGUUCUGGUUAUUCAUCCUCUUUAUACUUUGUUAUCAAGAGUUCCAUAUGCAGUUGUUUGUCUGACAAACCUGAAACUUAUGAUGACAUCAAUGACUGUCGAGCGAUAUGUACAAACUCUUCCAACACACCAUGUCAUUAUGGAAAUUCAGCUUUAGUGUUUGCAUUUGUUGAAGAUUCCAAUAUAAAGUUGCCAUCUCGGUAUAUUGAAAAGGAAUGCAUUUCAACAGACAACCACAACCAAUAUUUAACUGUAAGAGACUGCAAUGAAAAACAUCUAUAUGGAUGCAGAAACA